rnacentral:rRNA from 1 species
UACGAAGGGGGCUAGCGUUGCUCGGAAUCACUGGGCGUAAAGGGUGCGUAGGCGGGUCUUUAAGUCAGGGGUGAAAUCCUGGAGCUCAACUCCAGAACUGCCUUUGAUACUGACGAUCUUGAGUUCGGGAGAGGUGAGUGGAACUGCGAGUGUAGAGGUGAAAUUCGUAGAUAUUCGCAAGAACACCAGUGGCGAAGGCGGCUCACUGGUCCGGUACUGACGCUGAGGUGCGAAAGCGUGGGGAGCAAACAGG